rnacentral:lncRNA from 1 species
CUAAUUUUUUAAAUAACAUAUUUUGAAAGCAUUAACUAGUAAUUUGAAAAGAUCGCAUUUGACAGGCCAGUAUGAACAUACCUUGAAUGCAGCCACACAGGUUCCCCAUAAGAAAAAUCAAAAUCAGGGAAAAUGGAACCACAAAGGUUCAAUCUGCUCUGACCUUUGAAAAACUCAGCACAGAUAGUGGCACUUAGGACCAAGGGCAGCAGAUCCCUAAUCACAUCACCAUGGCGAUAGGGCAUAAACAUUCCAGGGUGAAGGCACAAUCCACACUGUGAGGUCCAAAUGCUGCCAUGCAGACAGCUUCAGGAAGGUCUUCCACGAGUUCUUCCAGAAGAAAGCCUUGUUAUCAUAGAAAAUGACAGCUGCAUGUAUGUUAUUGCCACUGAAGACCCUGAAGACCUUUCACUUGGACAAGAUUUCGAGAUGGAAGACAGUGAUAUUGAUUAUCCUGACCCUUACAGGGCUAAGCUAGUGUGUGUGUUUGUAUCUUAGUUUUUAACAAAAAUGUUUAAAACAUAAAAAAUCAAAAUAAAUGAAGCUUAUCAAAUAAGGAUAUAAAGUAUUUCUGUACAGCUGUUCAAUGUGUUUUUGUUUUAAGAUGUGUUAUUACCAAAGAAUCAAAAAAUUAAAAAAAUUAAAAGUUUAUAAAGUCAUGAUAAGCUAAGAUGAACUUGUUAAAGAAAGAAAAAAUUUAAAUACAUUUAGUGUAGCCUAAGUGUACAGUGCAUAUAAAGUCUAUAGUUAUGUACAGUAAUAUCCUAGGCCUUCGCAUUCACUCACCAAGUACUCACUGACUCAUCAGAGCAACUGCCAGUCCUGCAACUUCUGUUCAUGCUAAGUGUCCUUUACUGGUGUACCACUCUCUUUAAAUUUUGUAAUAUAUAUAUAUUUUUUUCUUUGUUUUUUUUUGAGAAGGAGUUUUAUUUUGUUGCCCAGGCUGGAGUUCAAUGAUACGAUCUUGGCUCACUGCAACCUCUGCCUCCGGGGUUCAAGUGAUUCUCCUGCCUCAGCCUCACGAGUAGCAGGGAUUACAGCCCCACGCCAGCAUGCCCAGCUAAUUUUGUAUUUUUAGUACAGACGGAGUUUCUCCAUGUUGGUCAGGCUGGUCUCGAACUUCUGACCUCAGGUGAUCCGCCCCCCUCGGUCUCCCAAUGUACUAUGUUUUUACUGUAUCUUUUCCAUGUUUAGAUAUUACUACUGUGAUAUAACUGCCUACAGCAGUGGGCCCCAAAGUUUUGACACCAGGGACUGGUUUUGUGAAAGAUAAUUUUUCCACGGAGUGGGGAUGGCUUUGGGCUGAAACUCUUCCACCUCAGAUCAUCAGGCAUUAGUUAGAUUCUUUUUUUUCUUUUUUUUCUUUUUUAGACUGAGUCUCCCACUGUUGCCAGGCUGGAGUGCAGUGGCACAAUCUCGGCUCACUGCAACCUCUGCCUCCCGGGUUCAAGUGAUUCUCCUGUCUCAGUCCCCCGAGUAGCUGGGACUACAGGCAUGCGCCACCACACCCAGCUAAUUUUUGUAUUUUUAGUAGAGACGGGGUUUCCAUGUUGGCCAGGAUUGUCUUGACCUUGUGAUCCACCUGCCUCGACCUCCCAGAGUGUUGGGAUUACAGGCGUGAGCCACAGCACCCAGCCUAGUUAGAUUCUCAUAAGGAGAACAUAACCUAGAUCCCUUCUAUGGGCAGUUCACAAUAGGGUUUGCGCUCCUGUGAGGGUCUAAUGCUGCUGCUGAUCUGACAGGAGGCGGAGCUCAGGCAGUAAUGCUCGGCUGGCCAGCCACUCAUCUACUGCUUUGUGCCCAGUUCCUAACAGGACACGAACCGGUGCUGGUCCAUGGCUUGGGUGUUGCGGACCAUUGGCCUACUGUAUUCAGCACAGUGACAUGCUGCACAGGUGUGUAGCCCAGGAGCAAUAGGCUGUACGAUAUAGCCUAGGUAUGUAGUAGGCUACGCUGUCUAGGUUUGUAUAAAGUACACUCUUUGGUGUCUGCACAGCCACAAAAU